GUCGAGAAUCAUCCGCAAUGGGCGAAAGCCUGACGGUGCGACGCCGCGUGGUGGAUAAGGUCUUCGGAUUGUAAACUCCUGUCAUGCGUGAACAAGGUUGCUUGGUUAAUACCUGGGCAAAUUGAUGGUAACGCAAGAGGAAGAGACGGCUAACUCUGUGCCAGCAGCCGCGGUAAUACAGAGGUCUCAAGCGUUGUUCGGAAUCACUGGGCGUAAAGGGUGCGUAGGUGGCGUGGUAAGUCAGAUGUGAAAGCCCGGGGCUCAACCUCGGAACUGCAUCCGAUACUGCCAUGCUAGAGUACUGGAGAGGUGACUAGAAUUCUCGGUGUAGCAGUGAAAUGCGUAGAUAUCGAGAGGAAUACCAAAGGCGUAGGCAGGUCACUGGACAGUUACUGACACUGAGGCACGAAGGCCAGGGGAGCGAACGGGAUUAGAAACCCGUGUAGUCC
rnacentral:rRNA from 1 species